GAUCAUGGCUCAGGAUGAACGCUGGCGGCGUGCCUAACACAUGCAAGUCGAGCGGAGAUAAGUUGAAGCCUAGCGAUUCUUAUCUUAGCGGCGGAUGGGUGAGUAACACGUGGGUAACCUGCCCUGUACUGGGGGGAUAACAGCUGGAAACGGCUGUUAAUACCGCAUAUGCGCACGGAGCCGCAUGGCCCUGGGCGGAAAGAUUCAUCGGUACAGGAUGGGCCCGCGCCGGAUUAACUUGUUGGCGGGGUAACGGCCCACCAAGGUGAUGAUCCGUAGCCGACCUGAGAGGGUGACCGGCCACAUUGGGACUGAGACACGGCCCAAACUCCUACGGGAGGCAGCAGUGGGGGAUAUUGCACAAUGGGGAAACCCUGAUGCAGCGACGCCGCGUGAAGGAAGAAGUAUUUCGGUAUGUAAACUUCUAUCAGCGGGGAAGAAGAUGACGGUACCCGCACAAGAAGCCCCGGCUAACUACGUGCCAGCCGCCGC
rnacentral:rRNA from 1 species